rnacentral:piRNA from 1 species
UGCAGCAUGUGCCUUGUCUCAGGACCU